rnacentral:rRNA from 1 species
AAAGGAAUUGACGGGGGCCCGCACAAGCGGUGGAGCAUGUGGUUUAAUUCGACGCAACGCGAAGAACCUUACCAGGAUUUGACAUCCUCUGAUCACCACAGAGAUGUGGUUUUCGAUCUUCGGAUUGACAGAGAGACAGGUGGUGCAUGGUUGUCGUCAGCUCGUGUCGUGAGAUGUUGGGUUAAGUCCCGCAACGAGCGCAACCCUUAUUCUUAGUUGCCAGCAUUUCGGGUGGGCACUCUAAGGAGACUGCCGGUGACAAACCGGAGGAAGGUGGGGAUGACGUCAAAUCAUCAUGCCCUUUAUGUCCUGGGCUACACACGUGCUACAAUGGCCUGUACAGCGGGUAGCGAAGCUGCGAAGUGGAGCCAAUCCCUAAAAGCAGGUCUCAGUUCGGAUUGCAGGCUGCAACUCGCCUGCAUGAAGUAGGAAUCGCUAGUAAUCGCGGAUCAGCAUGCCGCGGUGAAUACGUUCCCGGGCCUUGUACACACCGCCCGU